CCUGUCCAAAACCCGGUCAGAUUCCGUCCUUUUUUGCUAACACAGAAGAAGCAGAUAAUCGAGUGACGCUCCUGCCCAAGCCGCGUCUCUAUGAAGGAGGGAUCUGCUGAGGGAUCUGUUGAAGAUGAGGCGACUGAAUCGGAAGAAGACUUUGAAUUUAGUGAAAGAAUUGGACGCCUUCCCGAAGAUUCCAGACAGCUACAUCGAGACCUCAACGAGUGGAGGAACAGUUUCUCUAAUAGCUUUUACAACCAUGGCUCUCUUAACCAUAAUGGAGUUUACGGUCUAUCGAGACACCUGGAUGAAAUACGAGUAUGAAGUCGACAAGGAUUACACUAGGUAAUACU